UACGAAGGGGGCUAGCGUUGCUCGGAAUUACUGGGCGUAAAGGGAGCGUAGGCGGGUUAUCAAGUUGGGGGUGAAAGCCCAGGGCUCAACCUCGGAAUUGCCUUCAAAACUGACAACCUAGAGUAUGGAAGAGGUAAGUGGAACUCCGAGUGUAGAGGUGAAAUUCGUAGAUAUUCGGAAGAACACCAGUGGCGAAGGCGACUUACUGGUCCAUGACUGACGCUGAGGCUCGAAAGCGUGGGGAGCAAACAGGAUUAGAAACCCCUGUAGUCC
rnacentral:rRNA from 1 species